rnacentral:rRNA from 1 species
AUUGAACGCUGGCGGUAGGCCUAACACAUGCAAGUCGAGGGGCAGCACGGGAGUAGCAAUACAACUGGUGGCGACCGGCGCACGGGUGAGUAACGCGUAUGCAACCUACCUAUCAGAGGGGAAUAACCCGGCGAAAGUCGGACUAAUACCGCAUAAAACAGGGGCACCGCAUGGUGAUAUUUGUUAAAGAAAUUCGCUGAUAGAUGGGCAUGCGUUCCAUUAGGUAGUUGGUGAGGUAACGGCUCACCAAGCCGACGAUGGAUAGGGGAACUGAGAGGUUGGUCCCCCACACUGGUACUGAGACACGGACCAGACUCCUACGGGAGGCAGCAGUGAGGAAUAUUGGUCAAUGGGCGGGAGCCUGAACCAGCCAAGUCGCGUGAAGGAAGAAGGAUCUAUGGUUCGUAAACUUCUUUUGCAGGGGAAUAAAGUGCAGGACGUGUCCUGUUUUGUAUGUACCCUGAGAAUAAGGAUCGGCUAACUCCGUGCCAGCAGCAGCCGCCGUAA